AGUUCUGUCCUCUUUUCCAGGUCUCCAUGGUGGAGAGGAGGUGGUGUGACUCAGGUCCAAUCUGUCUUGCAACACCUGAAGUUGCUUUUGUUGGCUCAAAGUCCUCCCGGAUCCAUUCUUACACUGGUUUCCGUACAGACCGUGGAAGUUGUACUUUGGUCGACAGUGUUUUACAUCCACAUCGAAGUUACACGUCCAGUCAACCACAAUACCAAUGGCCCCUCCCUGUCAGGACACAAGCACAUAAUGCACGGACAACCAGUGGUUCACCGGUUCACUGCUAGUGCCUGAAAGAUACAGGCUGACUUCUGCUCCGAGCUACCAGCCUGCUGCCUGAAUCCUGAGGAGGAGAAUGUGGGCAGCUUCAUAAUCACAUCUCAUUUCAUGCCCAUCACCAAAAGGCAAGUGACAGGUGGGAAGAUGGAGCUCUGUCAUGCACCGGGAGCCUUAAUAGCAAAAGAGACAAGACCUUUGCAUGUCACCGUGACUGCUCCCUUUUUUACGUCUUUAUAUCAGUGCACAGUGGGAGCUAAAAUCCAGUUUCACAGUUACCUCAGUUUAGGAUCUUUCAAGGUUUGAAAUGAAAAAAAAUGAUCAUCCACAUUUGUUGUGGCUUGACUGAAGAUGGUCAAGAUUAAAGCACCUGAAGAGAAAGGGCCAGAUUAAAGCCGACACCAACCCGACAUCAGAGAACUAGCGGCGACAAAGGCCAACAGUUGCGUUAAAUUCCCAUUUUCUGCAUAGACGUAAGAAAUGAGCAAAAAAAGAAACAAAGAAAGAAAUACACUUUUCACCCCUGUAACUCUUUCUGACACUUUUUCAUCUGCUCGGCAGCACUUAUUUGUUAAUAAAAGUGUUAAUUGUAGUGAA